CAAGUCGAGCGAUUCUCUUCGGAGAAGAGCGGCGGACGGGUGAGUAACGCGUGGGUAACCUGCCUCAUACACAUGGAUAACAUACCGAAAGGUAUGCUAAUACAGGAUGAUAUAAGAGAUUCGCAUGGAUUUCUUAUCAAAGCUCCGGCGGUAUGAGAUGGACCCGCGUCUGAUUAGCUAGUUGGUAAGGUAAUGGCUUACCAAGGCGACGAUCAGUAGCCGACCUGAGAGGGUGAUCGGCCACAUUGGAACUGAGACACGGUCCAAACUCCUACGGGAGGCAGCAGUGGGGAAUAUUGCACAAUGGGCGAAAGCCUGAUGCAGCAACGCCGCGUGAAUGAUGAAGGCCUUCGGGUUGUAAAAUUCUGUUAUAAGGGAAGAACGACUUUAGUAGGAAAUGGCUAGAGUGUGACGGUACCUUAUGAGAAAGCCACGGCUAACUACGUACCAGCAGCCGCGGUAAUACGUAGGUGGCGAGCGUUAUCCGGAAUUAUUGGGCGUAAAGAGCGCGCAGGUGGUUGAUUAAGUCUGAUGUGAAAGCCCACGGCUUAACCGUGGAGGGUCAUUGGAAACUGGUCAACUUGAGUGCAGAAGAGGGAAGUGGAAUUCCAUGUGUAGCGGUGAAAUGCGUAGAGAUAUGGAGGAACACCAGUGGCGAAGGCGGCUUCCUGGUCUGUAACUGACACUGAGGCGCGAAAGCGUGGGGAGCAAACAGGAUUAGAUACCCUGGUAGUCCACGCCGU
rnacentral:rRNA from 1 species